CCCUACCCAUUAGUGAAGAUCCGUUAGGCAGAGUAGCUGUCGACAUUAUAGUUGCGCAGGCACUUUGGUGACUCUAGAGAACCUCGGGCCAAUCACACGUCCUCAUGACAACGACGACACAUUCAGAUGUCUGCCCUAUCAACUUUCGAUGGACUUUCUGCGCCUACCAUGGUGACCACGGGUAAUGGGGAAUCAGGGUUCAAUUCCGUAGAGGGAGCCUGAGAAACGGCUACCACAUCCAAGGAAGGUAGCAGG